GGGCGCAUAGCGCAGUGGUAGCGCGUCCGCUUUGCAUGCGGAAGGCCCCGGGUUCAAUCCCCGGUGCGUCCA
rnacentral:tRNA from 2 species